rnacentral:misc_RNA from 1 species
UUUGGUGGGGUGUGAGCCGUGAGGGGUUCUCGUCUGUAGUGGACGAGGGCCGGGUGCACAACAACAGGCAAUCGCCAGACACACUAUUGGGCCCUGAGACAACACUCGGCCGACUUCGGUUGAAGUGGUGUCCCUCCAUCUUGGUGGUGGGGUGUGGUGUUUGAGUAUUGAAUAGUGGUUGCGAGCAUCCGGAGGUCUAGCGUGCUCCGUAACUCCUUGCAAUGGUUGUGCUGGUGAUGCAGAGUUG